UACGUAGGGUGCGAGCGUUACUCGGAAUUACUGGGCGUAAAGCGUGCGCAGGCGGUUUUGUAAGUCAGGUGUGAAAUCCCCGGGCUUAACCUGGGAAUUGCAUUUGGGACUGCAAGGCUGGAGUUUGGCAGAGGAGACUGGAAUUCCCGGUGUAGCAGUGAAAUGCGUAGAUAUCGGGAGGAAUACCGAUGGCGAAGGCAGGUCUCUGGGCUAUAACUGACGCUCAUGCACGAAAGCGUGGGGAGCAAACGGG
rnacentral:rRNA from 1 species